rnacentral:rRNA from 1 species
UCCAGACUCCUACGGGAGGCAGCAGUGGGGAAUAUUGCACAAUGGGGGAAACCCUGAUGCAGCGACGCCGCGUGAAGGAAGAAGUAUUUCGGUAUGUAAACUUCUAUCAGCAGGGAAGAAAAUGACGGUGCCUGACUAAGAAGCCCCGGCUAACUACGUGCCAGCAGCCGCGGUAAUACGUAGGGGGCAAGCGUUAUCCGGAUUUACUGGGUGUAAAGGGAGCGUAGACGGCGGCGCAAGUCCGGAGUGAAAGCCCGCGGCCCAACCGUGGGACUGCUCUGGAAACUGUGCAGCUUGAGUGCGGGAGGGGCAGGCGGAAUUCCUAGUGUAGCGGUGAAAUGCGUAGAUAUCAGGAGGAACACCGGCGGCGAAGGCGGCCUACUGGACCGCGACUGACGUUGAGGCUCGAAAGCGUGGGGAGCGAACAGGAUUAGAUACCCCUGUAAA